rnacentral:rRNA from 1 species
AAUGAACGUUGGCGGCGUGGAUUAGGCAUGCAAGUCGUGCGAGAAGCUCUCCUUCGGGAGGGUGGAAAGCGGCGAAAGGGAGAGGAACACGUGGAUCACUUACCCCUGGGUUCGGAAUAGCGGCGGGAAACUGCCGGUAAUGCCGGAUAACAUCUCCGGAUCAAAGCUUCGGCGCCUGGGGACAGGUCCGCGUCCUAUUAGCUUGUUGGCGGGGUAAAAGCCCACCAAGGCAUCGAUGGGUACCGGGUGUGAGAGCAUGGCCCGGCUCACUGGGACUGAGACACUGCCCAGACACCUACGGAUGGCUGCAGUCGAGAAUCUUCGGCAAUGGACGCAAGUCUGACCGAGCGACGCCGCGUGCGGGAUGAAGGCCUUCGGGUUGUAAACCGCUGUCAGAGAGGCGGAAAGCGUAAGCUUGACCUAAUCUCAGAGGAAGUACGGGCUAAGUUCGUGCCAGCAGCCGCGGUAAGACGAACCGUACGAACGUUAUUCGGAAUCACUGGGCUUAAAGGGUGCGCANGCGGCCCUGU